AUAUAUAAAUCUGUAAAUAUAAACAAUGACUUAAAAAUGUGGAAAAUGUCAGAGUUUAAGGUAAAUGUGCAGAAUUAACGCCCUAGCAAGAAUCGCGAUUUUUUGUGGCAAACUAAAAGAACGGAUGGAGUGUAAGUUGAAGCCCGUAUCGCGAGAUUCACCCCACACCUUAGACAUGGCAUGGGUAGGGUGUGUUCAUACCUUUGUGAAGUUGAAGAUUGAAAUACAAAUAUAAUUUAAUGUCUUAACUUCAGACUUUAUUUCGCGU